AUUGAACGCUGGCGGCAGGCCUAACACAUGCAAGUCGAACGAGUGGCGGACGGGUGAGUAAUGUCUGGGAAACUGCCUGGUGGAGGGGGAUAACUACUGGAAACGGUAGCUAAUACCGCAUACCAUCAGAUGUGCCCAGAUGGGAUUCGCUUGUUGGGGGGGUAACGGCUCACCAAGGCGACCAGCCCUAGCUGGUCUGAGAGGUUGACCGGCCAAACUGGGACUGAGACACGGGCCGGACUCGUGCGGGAGGCAGCAGUGGGGAAUAUUCAGCAAUGGGCGCAAGCCUGAUGGAGCCAGGCCGCGUGUAGUAAGAAGGCCUUCGGGUUGGAAAGUACUUUCAACGGGGAGGGGUUACCCGAAGAAGAGGCACCGGCUAAGACCGUGCCAGCAGCCGCGGUAAUUC
rnacentral:rRNA from 1 species